CCCAGACUCCUACGGGAGGCAGCAGUGGGGAAUAUUGCACAAUGGGGGAAACCCUGAUGCAGCGACGCCGCGUGAGUGAAGAAGUAUUUCGGUAUGUAAAGCUCUAUCAGCAGGGAAGAAAAUGACGGUACCUGAUUAAGAAGCCCCGGCUAACUACGUGCCAGCAGCCGCGGUAAUACGUAGGGGGCAAGCGUUAUCCGGAUUUACUGGGUGUAAAGGGAGCGUAGACGGUGAUGCAAGUCAGAAGUGAAAGCCCGGGGCUCAACUCCGGGACUGCUUUUGAAACUGUGUGACUGGAGUGCAGGAGAGGUAAGCGGAAUUCCUGGUGUAGCGGUGAAAUGCGUAGAUAUCAGGAGGAACACCAGUGGCGAAGGCGGCUUACUGGACUGUAACUGACGUUGAGGCUCGAAAGCGUGGGGAGCAAACAGGAUUAGAUACCCGGGUAAU
rnacentral:rRNA from 1 species